CAGCAGCCACGGUAAUACGAAGGGGGCUAGCGUUGCUCGGAAUGACUGGGCGUAAAGGGCGCGUAGGCGGAUCACGCAGUCAGAUGUGAAAUUCCUGGGCUUAACCUGGGGGCUGCAUUUGAGACGCGUGGUCUAGAGUGUGAAAGAGGGUCGUGGAAUUCCCAGUGUAGAGGUGAAAUUCGUAGAUAUUGGGAAGAACACCGGUGGCGAAGGCGGCGACCUGGUUCAUAACUGACGCUGAGGCGCGAAAGCGUGGGGAGCAAACAGGAUUAGAUACCCGCGUAGUCCCUGUCUCUUAUAU
rnacentral:rRNA from 1 species